AUUGAACGCUGGCGGCAGGCCUAACACAUGCAAGUCGAGCGGAUGAAGGGAGCUUGCUCCUGGAUUCAGCGGCGGGCGGGUGAGUAAUGCCUAGGAAUCUGCCUGGUAGUGGGGGAUAACGUCCGGAAACGGGCGCUAAUACCGCAUACGUCCUGAGGUAGAAAGUGGGGGAUCUUCGGACCUCACGCUAUCAAAUGAGCCUAGGUCGGAUUAGCUAGUUGGUGGGGUAAAGGCCUACCAAGGCGACGAUCCGUAACUGGUCUGAGAGGAUGAUCAGUCACACUGGAACUGAGACACGGUCCAGACUCCUACGGGAGGCAGCAGUGGGGAAUAUUGGACAAAGGGCGAAAGCCUGAUCCAGCCAUGCCGCGUGAGUGAAGAAGGUCUUCGGAUUGUAAAGCACUUUAAGUUGGGAGGAAGGGCAGUAAGUUAAUACCUUGCUGUUUUGACGUUACCAACAGAAUAAGCACCGGCUAACUUCGUG
rnacentral:rRNA from 1 species